AACUCUAAGCGGUGGAUCACUCGGCUCAUGGGUCGAUGAAGAACGCAGCAAACUGUGCGUCAUCGUGUGAACUGCAGGACACAUGAACAUUGACAUUUUGAACGCAUAUCGUAGUCCAUGCUGUUAUGUACUUUAAUUAAUGUUAUAGUGCUGCUUGGACUACAUAUGGUUGAGGGUUG
rnacentral:rRNA from 1 species